rnacentral:rRNA from 1 species
GUGGGGAAUAUUGGACAAUGGGGGAAACCCUGAUCCAGCCAUGCCGCGUGAGUGAUGAAGGCCUUCGGGUUGUAAAGCUCUUUUGGUGGGGACGAUGAUGACGGUACCCACAGAAUAAGCUCCGGCUAACUUCGUGCCAGCAGCCGCGGUAAUACGAAGGGAGCUAGCGUUGUUCGGAAUUACUGGGCGUAAAGGGCGCGUAGGCGGUUUGGAUAGUCAGAUGUGAAAGCCCUGGGCUCAACCCGGGAACUGCGUUUGAUACUACCAAGCUUGAAUUCGGGAGAGGUGAGUGGAAUUCCCAGUGUAGAGGUGAAAUUCGUAGAGAUUGGGAAGAACACCAGUGGCGAAGGCGGCUCACUGGCCCGACAUUGACGCUGAGGCGCGAAAGCGUGGGGAACAAACAGGAUUAGAAACCCUGGUAGUCC